AGUCGCCGCGGUAAUACGGAGGGGGCUAGCGUUGUUCGGAAUUACUGGGCGUAAAGCGCACGUAGGCGGCUGUGUAAGUCAGAGGUGAAAGCCCGGGGCUCAACCCCGGAAUAGCCUUUGAGACUGCAUAGCUUGAACACGGGAGAGGUGAGUGGAAUUCCGAGUGUAGAGGUGAAAUUCGUAGAUAUUCGGAAGAACACCAGUGGCGAAGGCGGCUCACUGGACCGUUGUUGACGCUGAGGUGCGAAAGCGUGGGGAGCAAACAGGAUUAGAUACCCCUGUAGUCCCUGUCUCUUAUACC
rnacentral:rRNA from 1 species